rnacentral:rRNA from 1 species
GCCGCCGCGGUAAUACCGGCGGCUCGAGUGGUGGCCACUAUUACUGGGCUUAAAGCGUCCGUAGCUGGAUUGUUAAGUCUCUUGGGAAAUCCGCCGGCUUAACCGGCGGGCGUUCAGGAGAAACUGGCAAUCUAGGGAACGGGAGAGGUGAGAGGUACUCCAGGGGUAGGAGUGAAAUCCUGUAAUCCUUGGGGGACCACCUGUGGAGAAGGCGUCUAACUAGAACGGCUCCGAAAGUGAGGGACGAAAGCUGGGGGAGCAAACCGGAUU